rnacentral:misc_RNA from 1 species
UCCGAGUUAACCCCGGCAGUCUCCCGUGAGUGCUCCAAACUCUCGUUUGAGUGGCAACAGGACAUAAGGGUUGCGCUCGUUGCGGGACUUAACCCAACAUCUCACGACACGAGCUGACGACAGCCAUGCAGCACCUGUGCAAGCUCCCCUUGCGGGGUCGUCCCACUUUCAUGGUUCUACCACUUGCAUGUCAAGGCCAGGUAAGGUUCUUCGCGUUGCAUCGAAUUAAGCCACAUACUCCACCGCUUGUGCAGGCCCCCGUCAAUUUCUUUGAGUUUUAAUCUUGCGACCGUACUCCCCAGGCGGCAUGCUUAUCGCGUUAGCUUCGCCACAGAAGGGGUCGAUUCCUCCUACAGCAAGCAUGCACCGUUUAGGGCUAGGACUAC